rnacentral:rRNA from 1 species
AGACGAACCGUCCAAACGUUAUUCGGAAUUACUGGGCUUAAAGGGUGCGUAGGCGGCGCGGUAAGUUGGGUGUGAAAUCCCUCGGCUCAACCGGGGAAUUGCGCCCAAAACUACCGUGCUAGAGGGAGGCAGAGGGAAGCGGAACUGAUGGUGGAGCGGUGAAAUGCGUUGAUAUCAUCAGGAACACCGGUGGCGAAGGCGGCUUCCUGGGCCUUUUCUGACGCUGAGGCACGAAAGCUAGGGGAGCGAACGGGAUUAGAAACCCCAGUAGUCC